UACGGGGGGGGCAAGCGUUGUUCGGAAUUACUGGGCGUAAAGGGCUCGUAGGUGGCCAACUAAGUCAGACGUGAAAUCCCUCGGCUUAACCGGGGAACUGCGUCUGAUACUGGAUGGCUUGAGUUUGGGAGAGGGACGCGGAAUUCCAGGUGUAGCGGUGAAAUUCGUAGAUAUCGGGAGGAACACCGGUGGCGAAGGCGGCGACCUGGGUCGAGACUGACGCUGAGGCGCGAAAGCGUGGGGAGCAAACAGG
rnacentral:rRNA from 1 species